CCGCGGUAGAGUACGGCCUGAGAAUUUUGUUCCAGCACCGGUGUGAGGAAAACAUCUGAGCCCAUGAAUUGCCAGACCCUGGAUACCUGAGACACAUCCACUUGCUUCUCAGGUUUGGAGUGCAUAAUGAGGAGAAAUAAAAACAGAAAGAUCUCCAGAAAGAAGCCAUGGUAAGAUUCAAGGUUUCACAGUCCAAGCUAAUGCCUGUGGACACUUGACCAAGUGAUCUGAGAAAAUUGGAUUUCUGGCAAAACAAGUGUACCUAGACUCAGGCAAGGGUGGAGAACAGAGGGCGACUAGAUUAAAUGGAAAGAAUGCCCAGGCAUCCCAUUGCCUCCCUUUGACGUUCCAGAACUUCAUCAAGACAGUGAUGAGCUACAUGUACACCUGGAGGAGAGUUCAGGAUCAAGCUCAGAAGCGCACAGCUGCCAGCAAGCAGUCUACUACUGAACUGCACCAUCUCUCCAGCCUGUGCUUACUCUUGAAUAGCCCCAAAGUAGUCAAUGGUGUGGGCCCUGAAAGGAACUGUAUACCUGCUCUGCCCAUGACUGCUUCUGCCUCUACCUCAAUGUACUGUAACUGUUUAACAAGGUUGCUCUGGCUCAGGCUGAGAAAUUGACUCCACCCUUACCCUGACGCCUGGCAUGUCCACAUGUGGUCCUGUGUAGUCAGCAACCCCAGGUAUGGGCUAUUUGGUACUGGACAACCAAUUGGAGUGUUGUUUGCGGGGGAGGACCACCUCUCCAGGUAGAAUCUAAACAUCAGAAAAUCAACAACCCAGUUAAAAUAAUCUAGAGCACUAACCAGAGCGUUCUCAGAAGAAGCACUACAAACGGCUAAGAAACACGAGACUGCUCAACAUCCUUUGCCAUCAGGGAAACACAGAAGCUCACUUUUCAGUUUUCAUCUUUCUGGAGUCAGAAUGGUUAUCGUCAAGAAUGCCAGUGACAUGGAUGUAGAGGACGGAUUCCUUCAUUGUCUAAGUCUCUGGAAAUAGUGCAGAAGAGUAGUCAGGGACUAAAAGAUGGAAGACAGAAAGGGCUGCAAAGUUCCAUCCUAGAGACUCAAUACAGCCAUUGCAAUGAUGAACUCACAAAAACUGCAUUUACCUGAACUUAGCCUGCUCAAGACAUUGAAAGUGUUUCAAAGUAGCUUUUCCUGUUGUGAAUGUACCUCUCAGCUAGUCUGGUUUCUGGUUCAGAGCUCUUAGGCACAGAGUUGUCUUGAACAUUUGCUUACAGGCACUUGUGUAGAUAUCAGCUGCUUUUUUUUGUUAAAUCUCUGAAAUAAAUGCCUAGGCGUUCAAUGGCAAUGUUAUAUCAGUAUGUAUUUAGCUUAGUUUUAAAAUAAGAAACUGUCAAAUACUUUUGUAGAAUUACUGGACCAUUUUACACCCCUGCCAACAAAGUAAGAUUGAUCCAGCUCCCCACAUUCUCAUAAACAUUUGUUUUUGUUUCUUUAAGAAGACAAGUUAACCAUUCCAUUUAUUGAGAAUUUACUUACCAUUCAGUGCAUUGCUUAGAUAUGUAGUAUUCAGUUUUUAGUACACAUACAAGGUUGUGUAUCGAUUACUACUAAUUCCAGAACAUUUCCAUUACCAUAGAAAAAGAAACCCAAUAUUCAUUUUCAUCUCUCCUCUAUGGACUUACCUAAUCUAGAUAUACCAAAUAAAUGGAAUUUUUAUAAAAUAU
ensembl:processed_transcript 5530601H04Rik RIKEN cDNA 5530601H04 gene